rnacentral:rRNA from 1 species
AACGUAGGAGACGAGCGUUAUCCGGAUUUACUGGGCGUAAAGCGUGUGCAGGCGGUUCGGCAAGUUGGAUGUGAAAUCUCCCGGCUCAACUGGGAGGGGUCGUUCAAUACUACCGAACUUGAGGACAUCAGAGGAAGGUGGAACUCCGGGUGUAGUGGUGAAAUGCGUAGAUAUCCGGAGGAACACCAGUGGCGAAGGCGGCCUUCUGGGAUGUUUCUGACGCUCAUACACGAAAGCUAGGGGAGCGAACGGG